UACGUAGGGUGCGAGCGUUAAUCGGAAUUACUGGGCGUAAAGCGCACGUAGGCGGCUUUGUAAGUUAGAGGUGAAAGCCCGGGGCUCAACUCCGGAAUUGCCUUUAAGACUGCAUCGCUAGAAUUGUGGAGAGGUAAGUGGAAUUCCGAGUGUAGUGGUGAAAUGCGUAGAGAUCCGGAGGAACCCCAGAGGCGAAGGCGACGCCCUGGCUCGUACCUGACGCUCAGCCACGAAAGCAUGGGGAGCGAACGGG
rnacentral:rRNA from 1 species